rnacentral:lncRNA from 1 species
AUAUUUGCCAUGUCUGGUGAUGAGGGGACGUAUUAUAACUUACUAAUCAUCUUUUCUUGUGAAAACUUUUUUUGAACGACAAUGGGGAUUCCCGCACCACUUGCACUACUCCCUUCUCGCAGAUUUUUUACCAUUUCCGUAGCCUCAUUUAUCGGUUCCAUGAGUAAUAUUUUUAACCCCGCUGAAAAACGCUCAUGUUUGUCAAGCCCCC